UACGAAGGGGGCUAGCGUUGCUCGGAAUUACUGGGCGUAAAGGGCGCGUAGGCGGAUGUUUAAGUCAGAGGUGAAAGCCCAGGGCUCAACCCUGGAACUGCCUCUCAUACUGGCAAUCUCGAGUUCGAGAGAGGUGAGUGGAAUUGCGAGUGUAGAGGUGAAAUUCGUAGAUAUUCGCAGGAACACCAGUGGCGAAGGCGGCUCACUGGCUCGAUACUGACGCUGAGGUGCGAAAGCGUGGGGAGCAAACAGG
rnacentral:rRNA from 1 species